UACGUAGGGUGCAAGCGUUGUCCGGAAUUAUUGGGCGUAAAGAGCUCGUAGGCGGUCUGUCACGUCGGAUGUGAAAAUCCAGGGCUUAACCCUGGACCUGCAUUCGAUACGGGCAGACUAGAGUUCGGUAGGGGAGACUGGAAUUCCUGGUGUAGCGGUGAAAUGCGCAGAUAUCAGGUAGAACACCGGUGGCGAAGGCGGGUCUCUGGGCCAUUACUGACGCUGAGGAGCGAAAGCGUGGGGAGCGAACAGG
rnacentral:rRNA from 1 species